rnacentral:sRNA from 1 species
CGACCUGCUGGGGGCAGAUGAAGUGGAUGUGGGAGUCGAUGCCGCCCGCGGUCAGAAUCUUGCCUUCCCCGGAGAUAAUUUCGGUGCCGGGGCCAAUCACGAUCUCCACAUCGGGCUGUACGUCGGGGUUACCCGCCUUGCCAAUCGCGGCGAUACGACCUUUCUGAAUACCCACGUCAGCUUUGACGAUGCCCCACCAGUCCAGAAUUAGCGCAUUGGUGAUGACCGUAUCCAUCACCGUGUCGUCAGCGCGCUGGCUUUGGCCCAUGCCGUCGCG